rnacentral:misc_RNA from 1 species
GAUGAAGAACGCAGCGAAAUGCGAUAAGUAGUGUGAAUUGCAGAAUUCAGUGAAUCAUCGAAUCUUUGAACGCACAUUGCGCCCCUUGGUAUCCCGAGGGGCAUGCCUGUUCGAGCGUCAUUUCACCACUCAAGCCUGGCUUGGUGUUGGGCGACGUCCUCUUUGGGGACGCGCCUCGAAACGCUCGGCGGCGUGGCACCGGCUUUAAGCGUAGCAGAAUCUUUCGCUUUGGAAGUCGGGGCCCCGUCUGCCGGAAGACCUGCUCGCAAGGUUGACCUCGGAUCAGGCAGGGAUACCCGCUGAACUUAAGCAUAUCAAUAAGCGGCGGA